rnacentral:rRNA from 1 species
UGGCAGGUACAGAGGGAUGCUACCGGGCGACCGGAUGCGGAUCUCGAAAGCCUGUCCCAGUUCGGACUGGAGUCUGCAACCCGACUCCACGAGGUUGGAUUCGCUAGUAAUCGCGCAUCAGCCAUGGCGCGGUGAAUACGUUCCCGGGCCUUGUACACACCGCCCGUCAAGCCAUGGGAGCCGGGGGCGCCUGAAGUCCGGGACCGCGAGGACCGGCCUAGGGCGAAACUGGUAACUGGGGCUAAGUCGUAACAAGGUACC